rnacentral:rRNA from 1 species
UACCAGAGUAGCACUCGCAUAUCAAUAAGCGGAGGAAAAGAAACUAACAAGGAUUCCCCUAGUAACGGCGAGUGAAGCGGGAAGAGCUCAAAUUUGAAAUCUUAAAGGGUUUCCCUUUACGAAUUGUAGUUUAAAGAAGUGUUUUCUGUUGAGGUUUUGGUAAAAGUUCUUUGGAGUAGGACAUCAUAGAGGGUGAGAAUCCCGUAUUUGACCUUUACUUUCAACUUUGUGAUACACUUUCAAAGAGUCGGAUUGUUUGGGAAUGCAGUCCAAAAUGGGUGGUAAAUUUCAUCUAAAGCUAAAUAUUGGCGAGAGACCGAUAGCGAACAAGUACCGUGAGGGAAAGAUGAAAAGAACUUUGAAAAGAGAGUUAAACAGUACGUGAAAUUGUCAAAAGGGAAGCGUUUGACACCAGUGUUGUUUUUCUGAAAAUCAAUUAAAGAACUGUUUAUGCUAAGCUGUUUAGACUUUAUCAGCUAUCUGUUUAGUUUUGAGCUUUUCUUUAAUGCACUUUUCAGUUAACAAGUCAACAUCAAUUUCUUUUGCUGUAGAAAAGCUUGAGGAAGGUGGCUUGAGAUUCGUCUUAAGUGUUUAUAGCCUCUUGCCUAUGCAGUCGGAGAGAUUGAGGUCUGCAGCGUAGAUCCUUCGGGGCUAAAUGCAUUUGUGCUGAGUUAUAGCAUUUUAUAGACAACUUGUUGACUAUGAUUUGUCUUGUAGCUUACUCGCUUAUGUUAUUUUACCUACGCUUAGGAUGUUGAGUCAUCACACAUCUCU